GAUGAACGCUGGCGGCGUGCCUAAUACAUGCAAGUCGAGCGAACGGACGAGAAGCUUGCUUCUCUGAUGUUAGCGGCGGACGGGUGAGUAACACGUGGAUAACCUACCUAUAAGACUGGGAUAACUUCGGGAAACCGGAGCUAAUACCGGAUAAUAUUUUGAACCGCAUGGUUCAAAAGUGAAAGACGGUCUUGCUGUCACUUAUAGAUGGAUCCGCGCUACAUUAGCUAGUUGGUAAGGUAACGGCUUACCAAGGCAACGAUGCAUAGCCGACCUGAGAGGGUGAUCGGCCACACUGGAACUGAGACACGGUCCAGACUCCUACGGGAGGCAGCAGUAGGGAAUCUUCCGCAAUGGGCGAAAGCCUGACGGAGCAACGCCGCGUGAGUGAUGAUGGUCUUCGGAUCGUAAAACUCUGUUAUUAGGGAAGAACAUAUGUGUAAGUAACUGUGCACAUCUUGACGGUACCUAAUCAGAAAGCCACGGCUAACUACGUG
rnacentral:rRNA from 1 species